UUAGAUGUGUCAUCUCGAAUGAAUUCUAGCCAUUUACUCUCAAAGCGUUACGUAGUGUGGCAUGAUAUCCUCAAAUUAAUGCGGUUCUCAGUUAAAAAGAAAACGGACGACUGCCAUUGUUCUCUGUGCAUUGAGCCAUGUCUAUCAUUGUGAAUGCAAAGAGAGAGACGGUGACAGUUGUAUUGCCCAAGGUUUUGUGUAGGCUUUGAGCACACUUCGCUAGCAUACUCUUGCAAGCUUUGAACACACGUAGGCCUUGAGCACAAUCGCGGCCUCAUAACUGCAAAUGUGCCCAGUAUGCGAACCGUUUGUGUUGACUUAGCUUUUUGGAGUUGGAUAGAUUCAACUGAACUGGUUUCGUGGGUCAGGGGAUGAUGAUUCAGCGUGGUACUCACUGUCGCAUGAGCCAAGCACGCAAGGUUCUGUUCGUUAUAUUUAAUAAGGCUCGUAAUUUUAUAUAGCUGGCGUCACAGACACUGGUGCUGUGAUGUUUGGCACAGACGACUCUGACACUGUCGUGCCGUACAGCCACCUAAACUGAUCUUUGAUCUUUGUCUCUCAAUUUGCAAGAAUCUUAGGGCUCCCUAGUGGUCGGUAAGCUGGCAGUGCUGCUUAUUAUAGGUGUCUGUAAAAGAUUUAAACUGUACAAAGACUUGCAAUAUGCAGAUGAUGUGUCCAUCAGCAGUACGCGUCCAUCACUGAGUGUGACACAGCAAGGAUCGCAAAGGAGUGGAAGCCUGUGCAUUGAAGCAGUGAACUUCUUCCUACGCACUAGCUUGCAGUCCAAUAUGUAAUGUGAAGUUUGCCUUCCCGUGAUCACAGCUGCUGCCGCGCAGGUCACUGCGUCGCAAGCUCAAGGACUUGCGUUGCAACGGCGUGUUACAGGAACUCACACUGCUUGAAGGCCACUCAGUGAAAUGUGCAGUUCGAAGGAUAUUGGCCCACAGACGAGCUAGCCCAGCUACACAGUUGGAAACAG